rnacentral:rRNA from 1 species
UACGUAGGGGGCAAGCGUUGUCCGGAUUUAUUGGGCGUAAAGAGCUCGUAGGCGGUGUGUCGCGUCGGCCGUGAAAACCUGGGGCUCAACUCUGGCGUGCGGUCGAUACGGGCAUCCACUUGAGUUCGGCAGGGGAGACUGGAAUUCCUGGUGUAGCGGUGAAAUGCGCAGAUAUCAGGAGGAACACCGGUGGCGAAGGCGGGUCUCUGGGCCAAUACUGACGCUGAGGAGCGAAAGCGUGGGGAGCGAACAGG